GUUAUAAUACACAAACAUACACAUAUUCACUAAUCUACUUCGGUGAAUAGGAAAAAAAAAAAAACACAUACAAAAAAAAAAAUAAAAGACAUUCUAGACAAGUUAUGAGAACCAGUAACUCAAAUAAAUAAAUAAAUAAAUAAACAAACCUAUAACUUUUCCACGUGAGUAAGGCGCAAGCUGGACAGACUCCCUAAAAGUGAAUGACAUAAAUAAAUUUAAUAAUAAAACAACAACGUGUGAUAUGUGUGGAGCAGAAUAUGAAAUCUGAGACGUUUUCUGUUAUGGUACCCUGAAUACCAGGGAGAAAGAAGGAAAACUUUAAGAUUUGCAGCAACUAUAUAGAUAAGAAGAGGACAUUAUAGGGUUAUAACCGUUUGAAAAUAAAUAAAGCAUAAAUUCUGGAUAAUAAGAAAAAGGAAAAGGAAACAAAAAAGAAGAAAAGAAGACCAAAACAGUGAAAAAGGAUGCGUCAUAAGUACCGUUUCAAAGACACCACUCCCAACCAUCAACUCAACUCGGCGCAAGUCCGAGUGAAAACAAACGUACCACCCCUUAAAUUUUUCCCUUGUGCAGUGUGUUUGAAGCAAUGCCCGAGGACGAGACGCUGCGAGGAGGAACCUGGAUCAUUAAGUACGUGUGGGACAGUCAGCCACUCACACUGUUUCUACCGGUCACUUUGGGCGGCCUCAUGUGACGUCUAUAAAGGAAUUCCGUUCGUUGAAGUAAGGGACUUUCACCACCUCAUCCCUACUUGCGCAACCACCACCACUGCCAUCACCGCCAGCGCCAGCACCACCAUGACCACGAGGUCACGAGGCGCAAGGCACACGCGGGUCAGGAAAUCCAUGGAAGAGACAGUCGAAUAAAAAAAGAUCCCUGACGCAUGCACGGGUGGAGUUAAAGGUGUGUUACGUAAAUCCCUGAGCCUCGCCUUACCUGGUCACUAAUUUGCAUAUCUCGACCCAAUUUUGGCAGUGAACUACUACUACAACAACUACUACUACUGCAACAACAACAACUACAACCACCACCACUACUACCACCACCACCACUACUGCUACCUGCUUGGGUGUGUGUGUGUGAGGCAGACAGACAGGUACGCGAACAGGCAGGUGGGCGAGGU